GAAGGACCUCACUUCAAGGUACCAUUUUAGGAGCUGCAGGAAGAAAGGUAGGCAGGUUAGUUGGUGGACCUGUGCCUUGGUAAAUUUCACACCUUCAGGGAUGCCUUUCUCUUUUCUCAACCUAAGUGGAAAUCCCUAGUUCCCUGGUUGUUAAUGCAGAUUCCGAUGAUGGGGGGCCUUGGCUCGGGUGGGUGAGGAGGAAGUGGGACUGGUCAGGCUUUCACUGAGGUUGUCAGAGAGCUUUGUUUCUAGGGGGUGGGGCAGUGGGACUUCUUUCUUGUCUUUGACCAGAGGUUGUCCUGGGUACUGCCCAGUUCUCUCUUGGGCCCAUCGUCCUCUCUGGAAGACUCCCAAAGCAGAUAUCCUUCUUUACUUAGAGAACUGUACUUGUAGCUUUAUCCUGGGGCAAAUCCCACACCCAUCUGUCCUGAAACGGGGACUGGCAAAGUCGUAGUUUCUUUUCCCAACAUCCACUGACUCUGCCCUUUGUGUUACCUAGGGUGCCACUGAGAAGAUGUUCUGUCAAUGAUCUCCUUCACCUGUAUGAUGAAACAAGUUUUUCAGCCUCCUUAUUUUGCCAUCAAGCUGACACAUGUCCUUUAUAUAGAACAGAAAUGUCUCAUCUUACGGUUAGCUGAUGUUACCUUUUCUGAUUUCCUUUGCUACUACAAACUUAUUUUCAUUUUCAUAUUUCUUCUGCCAUUUCCAUGGGACUUGGGGAGGUGGAAGAGGCAAACACAGAUGCUCAGGGUUCCGGCUUAUAUUUUGACUCAUUUAUGAUCUCUCCUGUUGCUCUCUUCACUUCACUGUAUUCUGUUUGGAUUCAGCACCUUUGAGUUAACACCAGCCCACUGAGCCCUAGAAUCAAUGACUGAAUGAUCACAACAGCAACUUUUUGGCUUCAGUGAAUCCUCAUUGAAAAAUCUCAAAAAGUUGUUGGGUUGAAACUGUGCUAC
rnacentral:lncRNA from 1 species